rnacentral:rRNA from 1 species
UGACGGUACCUGCAGAAGAAGCGCCGGCUAACUACGUGCCAGCAGCCGCGGUAAUACGUAGGGCGCAAGCGUUAUCCGGAUUUAUUGGGCGUAAAGAGCUCGUAGGCGGUUUGUCGUGUCUGCCGUGAAAGUCCGAGGCUCAACCUCGGAUCUGCGGUGGGUACGGGCAGACUAGAGUGAUGUAGGGGAGACUGGAAUUCCUGGUGUAGCGGUGAAAUGCGCAGAUAUCAGGAGGAACACCGAUGGCGAAGGCAGGUCUCUGGGCAUUUACUGACGCUGAGGAGCGAAAGCAUGGGGAGCGAACAGGAUUAGAUACCCUGGUAGUCCAUGCCGUAAACGUUGGGCACUAGGUGUGGGGGACAUUCCACGUUUUCCGCGCCGUAGCUAACGCAUUAAGUGCCCCCGCCUGGGGAGUACNGCCGCAAGGCUAAAACUCAAGGAAUUGACGGGGGCCCNCACAAGCG